rnacentral:rRNA from 1 species
AUUGAACGCUGGCGGCAGGCCUAACACAUGCAAGUCGAACGAGUGGCGGACGGGUGAGUAAUGUCUGGGAAACUGCCCGAUAGAGGGGGAUAACUACUGGAAACGGUAGCUAAUACCGCAUACCAUCGGAUGUGCCCAGAUGGGAUUAGCUUGUAGGUGAGGUAACGGCUCACCUAGGCGACGAUCCCUAGCUGGUCUGAGAGGAUGACCAGCCACACUGGGACUGAGACACGGCCCAGACUCCUACGGGAGGCAGCAGUGGGGAAUAUUGGACAAUGGGCGAAAGCCUGAUGCAGCCAUGCCGCGUGUAUGAAGAAGGCCUUAGGGUUGUAAAGCACUUUCAGUUGGGAGGCGUUACCGACAGAAGAAGCACCGGCUAACUUCGUGCCAGCAGCCGCGGUAAUAC